rnacentral:lncRNA from 1 species
GUCUUAAGAAUUGGGUCCCUUAGCCCCUGGAUUGGUGCGCAAGCAAAAGAAGAACAAAAAAGAGGGGCCUCUGGCUUAUUAAGAAGCAUAUAAACGACAUACUAAGCAGAAGCGCGUAGACGAAGGGAGAGGGGCUUUUUCGAAAGGCUAGAAACUUAUACGUAUAUAGAUAUAGUGAGUGUGCGUGCGGGGUGUAGGUAUACCACUUACGAGAAAGAACCCCAAGUCAGUAAAGUAGUUAACCAAACACAAGUAAGAAGUUCGUCAGUCCUUCCUCCGAUACUCCCGUAGGUUGCAUCUUGAGUCUUAAGAAUUGGGUCCCUUAGCCCUUGGAUUGGUGCGCAAGCAAAAGAAGAACAAAAAAGAGGGGCCUCUGGCUUAUUAAGAAGCAUAUAAACGACAUACUAAGCAGAAGCGCGUAGACGAAGGGAGAGGGGCUUUUUCGAAAGGCUAGAAACUUAUACGUAUAUAGAUAUAGUGAGUGUCGGAGAGGGGCUUUUUUGAAAGGCUAGAAACUUAUACGUAUAUAGUGAGUGUGCGUGCGGGGUGUAGGUAUGCCACUUACGAGAAAGAACCCCAAUUCAGUAAAGUAGUUAACCAAACACAAGUAAGAAGUUCGUCAGUCCUUCCUCUGAUGGCUCUUGUUCAUUCUUCUUCAUUUCAUCAUUUUGUUGUGUUGUUCUGUUCAUAGGUCUCAAGACCUUCUUAGAAGGCCCUUUUCACUCUCCUUAAGUUAAGAAAAAAAGAAUGCUGCUUGAUUGAACGAACAUUGUAAGAACCUUCCUAACUGACACCCCAGUCAUAAUGCCACCCACGUCUUUUUUUUCUUUUGAACAAGCCUUCUAAUCCAUAUUUUUUUAUUUGAGUUCAUAAUAACUGGCGGGUUUCAUUAAUGAAAAGAAAAGCGGAGGCCCGCCAUCUGCUAGCAUUGUGGUUUUCCAUCGAUUCUUUAUCAAUGGCCCACCCUUUCUUUGAACCUUGUCAAUGAUCGAACUUAAAGAUAUGAACUGAGUGCCAUUUGAUGAGUAACUGAGAACAAAGGAGAGGGAUAUGGAAAGAAUGAAGUAAUGACUCAAUGAUCGAACUUAAAUAUAUAAACUGAAUGUCAUCUGUUGAGUAACUGAGAACAAAGGAGAGGGAUAUGGAAAGAAUGAAGUAAUGAAAGAGGAAGUCAUUGCUAGUAGUAACGACUUGUCACGAUCCAUUGGUUCAUAUAGAAUCCAUGUCCUAGGUGUAUCAAAAAACAUUCUUUUCGCUAAGCGUAUAUAAUAAAAUAGAGUGAAAAGGUCCACCCCGAAACCAAGGGGGUACGUAUCAAAAAACAUUGUUUUCGCUAAGCAUAUGUAAUAAAAUAGAGUGAAAAGGUCCACCCCGAGACCAAGGGGGUACUAACUAACAGCUGAGU